rnacentral:rRNA from 3 species
UGGGGAAUAUUGCACAAUGGGGGAAACCCUGAUGCAGCGACGCCGCGUGAGCGAAGAAGUAUUUCGGUAUGUAAAGCUCUAUCAGCAGGGAAGAUAAUGACGGUACCUGACUAAGAAGCCCCGGCUAACUACGUGCCAGCAGCCGCGGUAAUACGUAGGGGGCAAGCGUUAUCCGGAUUUACUGGGUGUAAAGGGAGCGUAGACGGCAAGGCAAGUCUGAUGUGAAAACCCAGGGCUUAACCCUGGGACUGCAUUGGAAACUGUCUGGCUCGAGUGCCGGAGAGGUAAGCGGAAUUCCUAGUGUAGCGGUGAAAUGCGUAGAUAUUAGGAAGAACACCAGUGGCGAAGGCGGCUUACUGGACGGUAACUGACGUUGAGGCUCGAAAGCGUGGGGAGCAAACAGG